GUAAGACAGGUGGUCGCAGCUGCUAUUGCCGAAAGGACGCAGGUGAGGAAAGUCCGGGCUUCACAGGGCAGGAUGCCGGAUAACGUCCGGUGGAGGCGACUCUAAGGAUAGUGCAACAGAAAUAUACCGCCAGAUAUUCUGGUAAGGGUGGAAAGGCAGUUUAAGAGACUACCGCCUGGCUGGUAACAGACAGGGCAUAUGUAAACCCCAUCCGAAGCAAGACUGAAUAGAAAGCAUAUGGCGGCCCGUCAGCUUUCGGGUAGGUCGCUUGAUUUUACCGGUAACGGUAAAACUAGAUAGAUGAUCACCAAAUACAUAACCCGGCUUAUAGUUUUGCUUG
rnacentral:RNase_P_RNA from 1 species